rnacentral:rRNA from 1 species
CCUACGGGAGGCAGCAGUGGGGAAUAUUGCGCAAUGGGCGGAAGCCUGACGCAGCGACGCCGCGUGGGGGAUGACGGCCUUCGGGUUGUAAACCUCUUUCGCCAUCGACGAAGCCUUUGGGUGACGGUAGGUGGAGAAGAAGCACCGGCCAACUACGUGCCAGCAGCCGCGGUAAUACGUAGGGUGCGAGCGUUGUCCGGAAUUAUUGGGCGUAAAGAGCUCGUAGGCGGUGUGUCGCGUCGGUCGUGAAAACUUGGGGCUUAACCCUGAGCUUGCGGUCGAUACGGGCAUCACUUGAGUUCGGCAGGGGAGACUGGAAUUCCUGGUGUAGCGGUGAAAUGCGCAGAUAUCAGGAGGAACACCGGUGGCGAAGGCGGGUCUCUGGGCCGAUACUGACGCUGAGGAGCGAAAGCGUGGGGAGCGAACAGGAUUAGAUACCC